UACGUAGGGGCUAGCGUUGUCCGGAAUCAUUGGGCGUAAAGAGCGCGUAGGCGGCCAGAUAAGUCCGGUGUGAAAGUCACAGGCUCAACCUGUGAAUGCCGCUGGAAACUGUCUGGCUAGAGUCCGGAAGGGGCGAGUGGGAAUUCCUGGUGUAGCGGUGAAAUGCGCAGAUAUCAGGAGGAACACCAAUAGCGAAGGCAGCUCGCUGGGACGGUAACUGACGCUGAGGCGCGAAAGCGUGGGGAGCAAACAGG
rnacentral:rRNA from 1 species